rnacentral:rRNA from 1 species
GACGAACGCUGGCGGCGUGCUUAACACAUGCAAGUCGAACGGAAAGGCCCUGCUUUUGUGGGGUGCUCGAGUGGCGAACGGGUGAGUAACACGUGAGUAACCUGCCCUUGACUUUGGGAUAACUUCAGGAAACUGGGGCUAAUACCGGAUAGGAGCUCCUGCUGCAUGGUGGGGGUUGGAAAGUUUCGGCGGUUGGGGAUGGACUCGCGGCUUAUCAGCUUGUUGGUGGGGUAGUGGCUUACCAAGGCUUUGACGGGUAGCCGGCCUGAGAGGGUGACCGGCAACAUUGGGACUGAGAUAAGGCCCAGACGCCUACGGGAGGCAGCAGUGGGGAAUAUUGCACAAUGGGCGGAAGCCUGAUGCAGCAACGCCGCGUGCGGGAUGACGGCCUUCGGGUUGUAAACCGCUUUCGACUGUGACGAAGCGUGAGUGACGGUAAUGGGUAAAGAAGCACCGGCUAACUACGUG